UCAAUUUCUUUAUUUAAAAAAAAUUAUUUAACUUCUAUAUUGACAAAAAGAAGUAGAAUAAAAACUAAAAAUAAAAUAGUUUAUCUCUAUGUUCUAAAAUCUAAAGAAAAUUCAAUCUCCUCUGUUACAAGACAAUAAAACUUUCCUCUCUCUAUUACUUGCAUCUCAUUCCAGUCAUCGCCAUCACCUCUUAUUAUUCAUUGAAGUAUCAGUUUUCCUUAUCAAUCAUUAAAUAU
rnacentral:lncRNA from 1 species